AGAGUUUGAUCAUGGCUCAGGACGAACGCUGGCGGCGUGCUUAACACAUGCAAGUCGAACGGAAAGGCCCUUCGGGGUACUCGAGUGGCGAACGGGUGAGUAACACGUGGGUGAUCUGCCCUGCACUUUGGGAUAAGCCUGGGAAACUGGGUCUAAUACCGAAUAGGACCACGCGCUUCAUGGUGUGUGGUGGAAAGCUUUUGCGGUGUGGGAUGGGCCCGCGGCCUAUCAGCUUGUUGGUGGGGUAAUGGCCUACCAAGGCGACGACGGGUAGCCGGCCUGAGAGGGUGACCGGCCACACUGGGACUGAGAUACGGCCCAGACUCCUACGGGAGGCAGCAGUGGGGAAUAUUGCACAAUGGGCGCAAGCCUGAUGCAGCGACGCCGCGUGAGGGAUGACGGCCUUCGGGUUGUAAACCUCUUUCAGCACAGACGAAGCGCAAGUGACGGUAUGUGCAGAAGAAGGACCGGCCAACUACGUGCCAGCAGCCGCGGUAAUACGUAGGGUCCGAGCGUUGUCCGGAAUUACUGGGCGUAAAGAGCUCGUAGGUGGUUUGUCGCGUUGUUCGUGAAAACUCACAGCUUAACUGUGGGCGUGCGGGCGAUACGGGCAGACUAGAGUACUGCAGGGGAGACUGGAAUUCCUGGUGUAGCGGUGGAAUGCGCAGAUAUCAGGAGGAACACCGGUGGCGAAGGCGGGUCUCUGGGCAGUAACUGACGCUGAGGAGCGAAAGCGUGGGGAGCGAACAGGAUUAGAUACCCUGGUAGUCC
rnacentral:rRNA from 1 species